UUUUUUUUUUAUGUUCCACGCAGUUCAUCCAAUUGCCUUGCUUAGGCUUAUAAAAUUGGUCCAGUUGGACUAUAUAUAUAUCUAAAUAAUGUAAUGUAUUAAUAAACAUCGUGGGUGUUAACCACUAUGCUUACCUAUGAAACUCACUUUUGACCUCUGAGAUUUUUUUUUUAAAGUCUAUAGACAACAGAUCUUAUGGCAAGAGGAGCAGAAGAAAAGACAGUGGCAUUGAGAUACUUUUGCGGAGAUGUUGUGCCGUUUGCUGCGAUGGUCUCAGUGGAGUGUGUCAUGGUUGGAUCUAACACACUGUUCAAGGCUGCCACCUUGAGAGGAUUGAGCUUCUAUGUCUAUAUCUUCUAUUCCUAUGUUGUUGCUACAAUUGUCCUUCUUCCACUUUCCCUCAUCUUUGGAAGGUCAAGAAGACUACCUCCAGCCAAAUUCCCUGUAUUCGUCAAGAUUUUCUUUCUUGCGGUUCUCGGGCUCAUGGCGGGGUUAGUUGGAUUGAAAGGAGUGGAAUAUAGUUCUCCUACUCUUUCCUCAGCUAUCAGCAACCUCACGCCAGCUUUUACCUUCACACUCGCCAUUAUCUUCAGGAUGGAACAAGUAAGGUUAAGUAGCUCUGCGACUCAGGCUAAAAUCAUUGGCACGAUAGUAUCUAUAUCUGGUGCUCUGGUUGUUGUGCUCUAUAAAGGCCCUAAAGUUCUCACUUCUGCAUCUUCGCCAUCUACUAUUUCGCUUGACCAGCAUUUGACUUCGUCCAAUUCAAGUUGGAUGCUCGGAGGCCUUUUACUUGCUUUACAGUACUUUUUUGUAUCAGUCUGGUAUAUUCUUCAGACUCAGGUCAUGGAGGUAUACCGUGAAGAAAUAACCGUAAUCUUCUUCUACAACUUAUUUGCAACGAUAAUCUCAGCACCUGUAUGUUUUUUUGCGGAACCCAACUUGACUUCAUGGGUGCUUAAACCUGAUAUCUCCCUUGCUGCAGUCUUGUACUCGGGAAUCUUGCUUUCAUCAUUUGGCUUAGCUAUACACACAUGGGGUCUGCAUCUGAAGGGUCCAGUCUAUAUAUCCCUGUUCAAGCCAUUGUCUAUAGUCAUUGCAGUCAUCUUGGGUGCUAUAUUCCUAGGCGAUGCACUUUACAUUGGGAGUGUCAUCGGGUCUAUGAUUUUGAGCUUAGGAUUCUACACUGUGAUUUGGGGAAAAGCAAGAGAGGAUGCUAGCAAAACUGUGACUGGUUUUGAGCAGUCACCUUUGUUGCUUACACACGUCGUAGACGAUGAAGCCUUGUCAUUAAGAUAAGAUUGAUGCAAGUGGAAUCAUUAUAUACACUGUUCGUUUAUCAAUAACGAUCCUUUACAAUAUGGAUCUUAUGGCAAGAGAAGUAGAAGAAGAGGUGGCAUGGAGAUGCUUUUGCAAAGAUGUUGUGCCAUUCACUGCAAUGGUCGCUGUGGAGUGUGUCAUGGUUGGAUCUAACACACUCUUCAAGGCUGCGACCAUGAGAGGAUUGAGCUUCUAUGUCUUUGUCUUCUACAAUUAUGUCGUGGCUACACUUGUCCUUCUUCCACUUUCUCUCCUCUUUAGAAGGUCAAGAAGAUCACCUGCAGCCAAAUCUUCUGUCUUCUUCAAGAUUUUCUUACUUGCACUUGUCGGAUAAUUAUAUAUACUCCUACAGUUAUGGGUAUUUUCAUGUUAUGCACUUUUUCUGACUUAGAGGGAACAGGUUCAUCUCGGUGAUAGCUGGCUGCAAAGGAAUAGAAUAUAGUUCCCCGACGCUUGCAUCUGCUAUCAGUAACCUCACGCCAGCAUUUACCUUCACUCUAGCUAUCAUCUUCAGGAUGGAAAAAGUCGUGUUAAGAAGCUCUGCGACUCAGGCUAAAAUCAUUGGCACGAUGGUAUCUAUAUCAGGUGCUCUGGUUGUUGUUCUUUAUAAAGGCCCCAAAAUUCUAGCUUCAUCAACAAAUAUCUCGAAGAAUCAGCAUUUGACUGUAUCUGAGUCAAGUUAGAUCAUCGGAGGUCUAUUAAUAGCUGCACAGUAUUUGCUUGUUUCAAUCUGGUUGAUUCUUCAGACUCGGAUCAUGGAGGUAUACCCUGAAGAAAUAACUGUAGUCUUCUUAUACAACUUAUGCGCAACACUAAUCUCAGCACAUGUGUGUCUAUUUGCUACAGAAGACUUCAGUUCUUUUCUGCUUAAACCGGGUCUCCCCCUCGUUUCUGUCAUGUUCUCGGGAGGCUUAGUGUCAUCGUUGGGGUCAGUUAUACACACUUGGGGUCUUCAUCUGAAGGGUCCAGUCUAUAUAUCCUUGUUCAAGCCAAUGUCUAUUGUCAUUGCAGUCGCUAUGGGUG